UAAGAAGCAAAUUUUGCAUUUAGUUUCGACCUAAAAAUUUGGUUUUAGCCCUUAUUU
rnacentral:tRNA from 1 species